rnacentral:lncRNA from 1 species
GCAAACUAUCUUGUUUAGAAGCAAUUUUGAUUGAACAAAAGAAACUUCUUUUUGAACAAAAGAAGACCAACAAACUGUUGUCUGAAAUUUUGCGCCCAAUAGAAAAAGAAUCUGUAAAUAAUGAUAAUGCCGUGUAUACUGGUUUUGAUGCCGAAUUUAAUUUGCAC